GAUGAACGCUAGCGGCAGGCCUAAUACAUGCAAGUCGAACGCUCAGUAGCAAUACUGGGAGUGGCGCACGGGUGCGUAACGCGUACACAAUCUACCUCUAAGCGGGGACACCUCCUGGAAACGGGGAUUAAUACCGCAUAAUAUGCCGAGGUCGCAUGACUUUGGUAUUAAAGCAGCAAUGCACUUAGAGAUGAGUGUGCGUCCCAUUAGGUAGUUGGUGAGGUAACGGCUCACCAAGCCUAUGAUGGGUAGCCGGUCUGAGAGGAUGGUCGGCCACACGGGCACUGAGACACGGGCCCGACUCCUACGGAGGCAGCAGUAAGGAAU
rnacentral:rRNA from 1 species